AUUGAACGCUGGCGGUAUGCUUAACACAUGCAAGUCGAACGGCAGCAUUAGAGAGUUUACUCUUUAGAUGGCGAGUGGCGGACGGGUGAGUAAUACAUAGGAAUCUGCCUUAUAGUUUGGGAUAACUACUCGAAAGAGUGGCUAAUACCGGAUGUGGACUACGGUUUAAAGCAGGGGAUCUUCGGACCUUGCGCUAUAAGAUGAGCCUAUGCAGGAUUAGCUAGUUGGUGGGGUAAAGGCUCACCAAGGCGACGAUCUUUAGCUGGUCUGAGAGGAUGAUCAGCCACACUGGGACUGAGACACGGCCCAGACUCCUACGGGAGGCAGCAGUGGGGAAUAUUGGGACAAUGGGGGGAACCCUGAUCCAGCAAUACCGCGUGUGUGAGGAAGGCCCUAGGGUUGUAAAGCACUUUGUCAGGGAGAAUGGUAGUUGAGGUUAAUACCCUCGGCUAUUGNUGUUACCUGAAGAAUAAGCACCGGCUAACUCCGUGCCAGCC
rnacentral:rRNA from 1 species